rnacentral:lncRNA from 1 species
AGCAAGCAUACCGCGGUCUUGACAAGUUCAUCAGCGUAUGCGCUGGCACGGACAACCAUGGAGACGGUCAUCUGCUUGGGAGUGGCAGCCUGGCGGGUGGCGCCCCAUUCGGACUUCUUGGGAAGGAAAGACGAUUUGAGGAUAGUAGCCGAGGCCAUUGUUUCUGGCUCCAAAGGCAAGAGGAUCAGGUGCUACCCUCUUCUUUGACACAAGCUUGCAAUUGCAGCCUUUCCUUAGGGGGGGUGAGAAGUGAAGCGCCUGCUCAGAUUUAAGGGUGAGUACCUGAGUACAAAGGAUAUGAGUUGUGAGGUGGAGGCUGGCCUUCUGGAUAUGAAUGGCUGUGAUUUGGUUGCUCCAAUCCUCU